UUUACAGCCCUUGGGGAAGAGGAGAGGCUCAUCAAAUUUCAAUAUCUUGGUUUCCCUACAAUUAGGGAAGCCGGAGCCUCCCAAACAGGGUCUUCAACUACUUAGAGGAGGCCCACCAUAUUAUGGAGGACCAUCUGCUUUCCUCUGUCUACUGAUUCAAAUGUUAAUCUCAUCCAGAAACACCCUCCCGGACACAUCCAGGGUUCCCACUAUUCUAGCGGAAACCGUGUCCAAAGCUGCUUUCCACCCAAGAACAGGGGACAUCCCAAGAAGGCAGCGGAAGCCUGAAUACGCGGGACCAGCCAAGGGGGGCCCACUGCUUUUCUCCUCUUUCCCACGCGCCCACGGCCAACCCCUUCCAAGCCCAGAAACCAGAGAGCAGCGAAGACGCCUGUCCAUCGUCCGUGUCCAGAAGGCCCAGCUGAGAUCUGUUUCAACGCACCCACAUGAGAGGGUUUCCAGUGUGUUUACCCAGUUGCCAUGGCUUUGCUUUCUGCGUCAGGCGCUCUGUCUGUCAGACACGACAAUUGAAUAAUAUUUUUAUUUUUA